rnacentral:lncRNA from 1 species
AUGGAAUUCUUAAAGUCCAAGCCUGAGAGGCCUAAUAUUGAUGAAAAAGAAGCAACUCAUUGUGAAAAAGAUUUCAGUACAGACAUCCUUCCACUAACAGAAGAGAGGAUACAGUCAUCUAGAUGCAAUGUUUACUCUGCCAGAGAUGGGAAUUUCAGAAAACAUAUGGUAAAAAUCCUAAAAAGAGGGGUGAAAGAUGGUCAAGAAGGGGGAUCAACUGAAAACCAGAAAAGGUCAUAUUCAAAGACAUAACCAUGAUACCCUGGAAUAGCUGUAUGCAAAGGAAUCUUGUAGCACAGGCAUGGACAAACUUAGGCCCUCCAGGUGCUUUGGACUUCAACUUCCACAAUUCCUAAUAGCCUAUUGGCUGUUAGGAAUUGUGGAAGUUGAAUUCCAAAUCAUCUGGAAAGCCGAAGUUUACCCAUGCCUGUUGUAGCACCUUUGAGAUUACCAUUGAGAAACAAUCUGUAGCAUCAGCUUUCAUAAUAAUAAUAAUAAUAAAACUUUAUUUAUACCCCGCCACCAUCUCCCCAAUGGGGACUCUUGGGCUACCUCCUCAAAUGCAUCAUUUGAGGAGGUAGCCCAAGUCUAUGAAAACUUCUGCAACAAUUUCUUUAUGGUAGUCUCAAAAGUACUGCAAGAUCCCUUACCUACAGAAAAGGUUGAAUUUAGGAAGAAGGGAAAAAACCAUUCCGAAGAUUUACAGGCAUAGUCAAGGGAGAAAGCAAAAUUAUUCUGCUAACUUGACCCCAGUGAGAAAACAAAGAUGGUGAAAUGUAAACUAUUUUUUCAAUAGUCAAAGAUAAUCCUGGAUUCUAGCCAUUUCAGCUUUGUAUUAAUAACCUGGUAAGUACUCGGCACCAGUCAUCCAACUAAAUCUCAAAAGCCAGAGUUCCUGCUUCACUAAUGUGCUACAUAAAUAGAGUUCAUCUUCACCUUGUAAGAAGUCUCUGAGUUGGUUCACUUGGGCUUUCAUCUGUCAUGCCAAGAUUUCCAGGGGAGAAGGUUGUCAUUGAACAAAUGAGGAAGGGGAAGCAGAAAGCAUCACGAGUAGUCCUGUCUCAGCGGGCAACAAGGUUGACACUACAUACACAGACUACAUGUGUGAAAACAGUAAUUACUAGAUGAUCUUUCUAACGGGAAGAUUCCUACAGCUAUAUUGGUCAGUUCCAGGUGUUGGCUGGAGAAACUUCAUAACAUUUGGCAGAUUCCAGCACAGCUCACUGAUAUGGUUUAAUACAGGAGACCUCUAUGUGUAACUGGCUUGGAGGGUAAGUAAAACGAGACCUUUGAAAUAUUAGUCUUCUGGACCACAGAUCCCAGAAUCUCCCAGCCAGCAUGGAUAGGCAUAGGUAAGCUUUGGGAUGUAGUGAUGUAUAUAUUUAGGAUACUCCUAGAAACAUCUUCAUAAUUUAGUACCACAAGUAGUUUCAAAAAAAGAAUUAAAUUUUAAUGAAAUGAUAUGAAUAAAUUACAGUUUAGUCUUCAACAGACACAAAAGUUUAGAUUGUAAACAAUUUACCAUCAUUACCUCAAUCAUUUCUCAGCUGUUACCCAAGUAAUUGCCUAACAAAAUGGAAAA